UCAAAACUUUUAACAACGGAUCUCUUGGCUCCAGCAUCGAUGAAGAACGCAGCGAAACGCGAUAUGUAAUGUGAAUUGCAGAAUUCAGUGAAUCAUCGAAUCUUUGAACGCACAUGGCGCCUUCCAGUAUCCUGGGAGGCAUGCCUGUCCGAGCGUCGU
rnacentral:rRNA from 1 species